ACUCCUACGGGAGGCAGCAGUGGGGAAUAUUGGACAAUGGGCGCAAGCCUGAUCCAGCCAUGCCGCGUGAGUGAUGAAGGCCCUAGGGUUGUAAAGCUCUUUCACCGGUGAAGAUAAUGACGGUAACCGGAGAAGAAGCCCCGGCUAACUUCGUGCCAGCAGCCGCGGUAAUACGAAGGGGGCUAGCGUUGUUCGGAUUUACUGGGCGUAAAGCGCACGUAGGCGGACUAUUAAGUCAGGGGUGAAAUCCCGGGGCUCAACCCCGGAACUGCCUUUGAUACUGGUAGUCUUGAGUUCGAGAGAGGUGUGUGGAAUUCCGAGUGUAGAGGUGAAAUUCGUAGAUAUUCGGAGGAACACCAGUGGCGAAGGCGGCUCACUGGCUCGAUACUGACGCUGAGGUGCGAAAGCGUGGGGAGCAAACAGGAUUAGAUACCCCAGUAGUCCC
rnacentral:rRNA from 1 species